GCGUCUGAGUGGGGGGAGAGUGGCGUUCCACAGGAGAGGGGUGGCAGCGGGGGUGGAGGUGUGGCUGAUGCGACUGAGCAGAAAAUAGGGCUGAUAGUCUUGGAGAUUUGCCACAAACCAGGUGGCGCUGAGUACCUGAGGCAAAUCUAUCACAUCAUCCAAGUCAAUGAGCCACUGUUGAGCUCCAAGCUGUGUGCGUCCAGUGACCCCCCAGAUGAGUCUACUCAGACAGUGAUCUUUAACCCCCUCACCCCAGUUCAACCCCCUCCACCAGUUUGACCACAUCGGCAGCAACAAGUUUGACCAGGCAGCCAUAGGAGAGGACCUCGGACUGGGCCAUGCUAAUGCCAACUUACCAGGGGAUGAGUCAGGUGACCUUGAGAACGCUACUGGCCAACAGGUGUGGGGGACAGAGGGAGAGCGGCUCUUCAGAGGCCAGCGGAGAGCUGAAAGACUGAUGGGGAAAUGAAG